UCUGUGUGAUUUCCACAGAUGAUUAACUAUGUUCUGAAUAUUAGUGGCACCUUCCCAUGGACUGGGUGUCCAGGUGAAAUAGGAGAAAUUAAGCAUAUAUUUCUGUGGUUUAAUUUGUACUAACGUAAGUUGCACCUCCCCUCUUUUCCCCUACUCUUAUUCUUGUCCACAGUGAUGUGAGGUGUUCUACUCCACACCCCUCCAUGACUGUGAAAGUGAGCUAAAUGAAUCUAUCCUCCUGUAAAUUGUUUCUCUUAGGUAUUUCCCAGGGCAAUUGAAAGUCAGAACAACCAGGACCUUGGUACUCAGGUGGAUUAGUUGCUGUGUGCACAACAGUUGUGGUGUCGUGGAGGAUUCCAUCCAGAUUCUGAAAGAAUGCCGGAUAGCAUGUGAUCCACAGUCCCUGUCAGUAGCUCUUCAAGGAACAGUGGUUGAAGUAUGAGAGUGAAGCUUGAGAUGUAACCAAGGCCCCAGAACCUUACCCCUGAGAGCAAUGAGGAACAUCUUCCAAGAAAAGCUGCCCCAGCCUAAAAGAUAAACGGAGCUCCUGCCCCUCAUUGAAGAAGCUUCUCACAGAGAAAGACCAUGACAGAAAACCACAACUCAUCAAAAUGCCUAGAAAAAUGAUAGUGGGGUGCCCCGCCCCAAGACAUACAUCUACAUCGUAACUCCUGCACCCAAGGCUCACAACAUGGCAAAGGAGACAGGAAGACUAUGAUCCAGAGGACCAGGAAGUCU
rnacentral:sRNA from 1 species